rnacentral:rRNA from 1 species
GGAUUAGAUACCCUGGUAGUCCACGCCGUAAACGAUGUCUACUUGGAGGUUGUGGCCUUGAGCCGUGGCUUUCGGAGCUAACGCGUUAAGUAGGCCGCCUGGGGAGUACGGUCGCAAGAUUAAAACUCAAAUGAAUUGACGGGGGCCCGCACAAGCGGUGGAGCAUGUGGUUUAAUUCGAAGCAACGCGCAGAACCUUACCAACCCUUGACAUCCUGUGCUACAUCCAGAGAACUUAGCAGAGAUGCUUUGGUGCCUUCGGGAACUCUGAGACAGGUGCUGCAUGGCUGUCGUCAGCUCGUGCCG